GGUUAAGCGACUAAGCGUACACGGUGGAUGCCCUGGCAGUCAGAGGCGAUGAAGGACGUGCUAAUCUGCGAUAAGCGUCGGUAAGGUGAUAUGAACCGUUAUAACCGGCGAUUUCCGAAUGGGGAAACCCAGUGUGUUUCGACACACUAUCAUUAACUGAAUCCAUAGGUUAAUGAGGCGAACCGGGGGAACUGAAACAUCUAAGUACCCCGAGGAAAAGAAAUCAACCGAGAUUCCCCCAGUAGCGGCGAGCGAACGGGGAGCAGCCCAGAGCCUGAAUCAGUGUGUGUGUUAGUGGAAGCGUCUGGAAAGGCGCGCGAUACAGGGUGACAGCCCCGUACACAAAAAUGCACAUGCUGUGAGCUCGAUGAGUAGGGCGGGACACGUGGUAUCCUGUCUGAAUAUGGGGGGACCAUCCUCCAAGGCUAAAUACUCCUGACUGACCGAUAGUGAACCAGUACCGUGAGGGAAAGGCGAAAAGAACCCCGGCGAGGGGAGUGAAAAAGAACCUGAAACCGUGUACGUACAAGCAGUGGGAGCACGCUUAGGCGUGUGACUGCGUACCUUUUGUAUAAUGGGUCAGCGACUUAUAUUCUGUAGCAAGGUUAACCGAAUAGGGGAGCCGAAGGGAAACCGAGUCUUAACUGGGCGUUAAGUUGCAGGGUAUAGACCCGAAACCCGGUGAUCUAGCCAUGGGCAGGUUGAAGGUUGGGUAACACUAACUGGAGGACCGAACCGACUAAUGUUGAAAAAUUAGCGGAUGACUUGUGGCUGGGGGUGAAAGGCCAAUCAAACCGGGAGAUAGCUGGUUCUCCCCGAAAGCUAUUUAGGUAGCGCCUCGUGAAUUCAUCUCCGGGGGUAGAGCACUGUUUCGGCAAGGGGGUCAUCCCGACUUACCAACCCGAUGCAAACUGCGAAUACCGGAGAAUGUUAUCACGGGAGACACACGGCGGGUGCUAACGUCCGUCGUGAAGAGGGAAACAACCCAGACCGCCAGCUAAGGUCCCAAAGUCAUGGUUAAGUGGGAAACGAUGUGGGAAGGCCCAGACAGCCAGGAUGUUGGCUUAGAAGCAGCCAUCAUUUAAAGAAAGCGUAAUAGCUCACUGGUCGAGUCGGCCUGCGCGGAAGAUGUAACGGGGCUAAACCAUGCACCGAAGCUGCGGCAGCGACGCUUAUGCGUUGUUGGGUAGGGGAGCGUUCUGUAAGCCUGUGAAGGUGUGCUGUGAGGCAUGCUGGAGGUAUCAGAAGUGCGAAUGCUGACAUAAGUAACGAUAAAGCGGGUGAAAAGCCCGCUCGCCGGAAGACCAAGGGUUCCUGUCCAACGUUAAUCGGGGCAGGGUGAGUCGACCCCUAAGGCGAGGCCGAAAGGCGUAGUCGAUGGGAAACAGGUUAAUAUUCCUGUACUUGGUGUUACUGCGAAGGGGGGACGGAGAAGGCUAUGUUGGCCGGGCGACGGUUGUCCCGGUUUAAGCGUGUAGGCUGGUUUUCCAGGCAAAUCCGGAAAAUCAAGGCUGAGGCGUGAUGACGAGGCACUACGGUGCUGAAGCAACAAAUGCCCUGCUUCCAGGAAAAGCCUCUAAGCAUCAGGUAACAUCAAAUCGUACCCCAAACCGACACAGGUGGUCAGGUAGAGAAUACCAAGGCGCUUGAGAGAACUCGGGUGAAGGAACUAGGCAAAAUGGUGCCGUAACUUCGGGAGAAGGCACGCUGAUACGUAGGUGAAGUCCCUCGCGGAUGGAGCUGAAAUCAGUCGAAGAUACCAGCUGGCUGCAACUGUUUAUUAAAAACACAGCACUGUGCAAACACGAAAGUGGACGUAUACGGUGUGACGCCUGCCCGGUGCCGGAAGGUUAAUUGAUGGGGUCAGCGCAAGCGAAGCUCUUGAUCGAAGCCCCGGUAAACGGCGGCCGUAACUAUAACGGUCCUAAGGUAGCGAAAUUCCUUGUCGGGUAAGUUCCGACCUGCACGAAUGGCGUAAUGAUGGCCAGGCUGUCUCCACCCGAGACUCAGUGAAAUUGAACUCGCUGUGAAGAUGCAGUGUACCCGCGGCAAGACGGAAAGACCCCGUGAACCUUUACUAUAGCUUGACACUGAACAUUGAGCCUUGAUGUGUAGGAUAGGUGGGAGGCUUNNNNNNNNNNNNNNNNNNNNNNNNNNNNNNNNNNNNNNNNNNNNNNNNNNNNNNNNNNNNNNNNNNNNNNNNNNNNNNAUCCGGGUUGCGGACAGUGUCUGGUGGGUAGUUUGACUGGGGCGGUCUCCUCCUAAAGAGUAACGGAGGAGCACGAAGGUUGGCUAAUCCUGGUCGGACAUCAGGAGGUUAGUGCAAUGGCAUAAGCCAGCUUGACUGCGAGCGUGACGGCGCGAGCAGGUGCGAAAGCAGGUCAUAGUGAUCCGGUGGUUCUGAAUGGAAGGGCCAUCGCUCAACGGAUAAAAGGUACUCCGGGGAUAACAGGCUGAUACCGCCCAAGAGUUCAUAUCGACGGCGGUGUUUGGCACCUCGAUGUCGGCUCAUCACAUCCUGGGGCUGAAGUAGGUCCCAAGGGUAUGGCUGUUCGCCAUUUAAAGUGGUACGCGAGCUGGGUUUAGAACGUCGUGAGACAGUUCGGUCCCUAUCUGCCGUGGGCGCUGGAGAACUGAGGGGGGCUGCUCCUAGUACGAGAGGACCGGAGUGGACGCAUCACUGGUGUUCGGGUUGUCAUGCCAAUGGCACUGCCCGGUAGCUAAAUGCGGAAGAGAUAAGUGCUGAAAGCAUCUAAGCACGAAACUUGCCCCGAGAUGAGUUCUCCCUGACUCCUUGAGAGUCCUGAAGGAACGUUGAAGACGACGACGUUGAUAGGCCGGGUGUGUAAGCGCAGCGAUGCGUUGAGCUAACCGGUACUAAUGAACCGUGAGGCUUAACCUU
rnacentral:rRNA from 1 species